GGUGGGCGGAGCCCUGACCUCGGGCCGGGCUGAGGCGGAGGACUCCGGGGCUGGAUCCCCGCCUUCUGGGAAAGGGCUUCUUCCUGUGUGCCCAAGUUUGAUAAGCGAGGCCUGUGAAGGAUUCACUUCCAGUGUUUAACAAAAAGUUGCCUGGUGUGGUGCCUCCUGUCUGUAACCCCAGCACUCUGGGAGGCAGAAGCAGGAAGAUUGCAGCCUGAGCGACUUAGCUAGACUCUCUCAAAAUUAAAAAUAAUACUAAAAGGGCUGGGGAUGCAGCUCAAUAGCUCCCUAGUACCACCAAAAAAAAGGGAAGAGAAAACUUGUGGAGGACACUAAUAACUCAAGUUACUAAUUAGUUUGUGCCCCGCUCUAAGUUAAACCCUGAACACAGGUCCUCACAUCAGCUUGGGGAAAUCUUGGUACCAGGAAGUCCCUUAAAUGAGAACUGAGGCUCAGGAAUCCUGGCUGGCCUGGUCCCAGAGACUCGGAGGAGGGUAAAAUGCGUUUAAAGACUCGGCCCCAUGUCUGCCUUAAUCCAAGCAUGGGCUUCCAAUCACCAAACCCAGCUGCCAUCUCCUGGUUCUUUGUCAGCUGUGCAGUGCCAUGCGCCAUGUGUUCUUAUGUUCCUGUCAUGCAGGUACCAGGAUUUUCAUGCAUUUGACCUCUCAGCACCCACUCGAGUCCUUGAAUGGAUUGGUGACAAAGGAGUCUUCAUUGCUGGCUAUGAAAGCCUGAAAAAAAAUGAAAUUCUUCAUCUAAUGCUACCUCCUAGACUUUCUGUAAAGGAAAACCAGGGCUUAUUCCCAGAAAGAGAUUUCAAAGUGAGCCACGGGGGAUUCUCAGACAGAGCCAUCCUGGAGCUAAAGCACGUACCAGACACCAGGUUGCUGGUGACCAGUGGGCUUCCGGGUUGUUAUCUCCGAUUGUGGCACAUCACAGAGGACAGUGAUGUCAUUAAAGCUGUCAGCACCAUCUCUGUGCAAGAGAAAGCGGGGGACCUCUGGCCUAGGCUAGCUGUCUUCUCCAUGGUACCCAGAGUCCUUCAUGGGGUGCAGCUCAGCAGUCUGCAGGUGGUCGAUUUGGAAUCCUGGAAAACCACAUACAGCUCAGGCGUCACUGACAGUGAGGAGCUGAGCAACCUGCAGGUCCUCGAUGGAGACACCUUUGCAUUCUGCUGCACCUCAGGCCGCCUGGGGCUGGUCGAUACCCGCCAGCCGUGGGCACCACUGGAGAACCCCAGCCCAAGCCCUGGGUCUGGUGGGCAGAGAUGGUGUGCAGAAGUAAAGGACAGGGGCCAGGGCCCUGGGCCUUGCUUCUCCAGCCUGUGCACAGAUGGGCAGCUCUGUCUCCUUGAUGCCCGAGACCUCUUCCACCCUGUGAGCUCAGUCCAGUGCCCAGUGACCACACCAAGCCCUGACCCAGAGCUGCUGCGGGUGACAUGGGCCCCAGGCCUGGACAACUGCCUGGCUGUUUCAGGCUUUGAUGGGACAGUCCAGGUCUAUGAUGUUACGUCUUGGGAAGGAAUGGGGAGCCAAGUAAAGCCACUCUUCACCCACAGAGGUCACAUCUUCUUAGACGAAAGCAAGGGGGACACUGCUCCACUGGUCACCACCCACACCUGGCACCCUUGCAAACCCAGGACUUUGUUAUCUUCAGCAAGCGACGCCUCCUUGCACGUGUGGGACUGGGUGGACCCUCGACCCUCCUGCUGACACCAGGACUCUGGGGGGAAGGGGUGGCACUGGGUGGCAGAGCUACUGGUGCAGGACGCUGCUGCCAGCUAUGUGGCCUCAGGUACUUCUUUCGGCGUUAACGGUACAGUGGUGUGGACUGACUUCAAAUUGCUGGGUAAGUUACUGACCCACCCUCCUCUAAGGCUCCGCUUCUUCCUGUUGCUGAGGCCGCCUGCUAACCUUGCAGGGUCACUGUCAGUGUGAAUGAGGUAGCAGGUCAAGGGCUGAGCACUGUGCCUCAGCCUUCGUAUCUACUCUGUGCAUCUUUACUGUAAGCAAUUACAAUUUAUGGCAAACCCUAAACACAACCCAAAGGGAAAUACAUACUAUGAAAACAAAAGUCAUCUCAUUAGGACAGCCUCAAGUUGUAACAAAAGAACAAAGGCGUGUAGUGACAUCAACUUCAAACAGGAAAACAUAGACUCUGACCCACAGACUCAGCUAUAGUAGGCAAGGGGUGUGGUCCUCCACUGGCUUUUGUUACAUUCAAAAAUGUCAUUGGGACACUUUUCUAUUGAUACUUUGGAUUGAACCUAGGGCCUUGUGCAUGCCAGGCAAGUGCUCUACCACUGAACUACAUUCCCAGACAUUUUUAGCUCUUAUAUUGAGAUAGGGGCUCCUUAAAUUUCCCAGGCUGGCCUUGAACUUGGAAUCUUCCUGCCUCAGCCUCCCAAGUAGCUGUGAUUACAGGUGUGGACCACUUCGCCUGGUUUGAUUUUUACAAGUGUCCUCAGCAGUGUAAUUCCAUGGGUAAAUACUAAAGUUACAGCUUAACUUACUUGUGUCAUCUUACCAGAGGACAGUACAGGGAAACUGUAUUCUCCAGGCCACGGUUGUGGGCUCCAUAUGCCUCUUGCAUUUAAAUGCAUCUCGCUGAAGAGAGCCAGCUGGUAAAUCCCAACUGAGCUGCUAUCAUGUACACUGAGCCGGGUGCCAGACAGUUGUGAACCUCAGGGUAGGCAUAAGUGUGAAAAACAGAAGAGGUGAGGGCAGGAUCGAGUAGGAGCUGAAGGACAGGAGUGUGCAGGGAGCACAGCAGGGUCGGACCUGCCAUAUUCAAGGGAGGGCUUCUUAGAGGAGCUGGUGUCAGGCUAUCUCUGAGAACGGGCAGACCAGAAUCCCAACAAAGGAAGCAGAGUGCAAGGGCACUGAGGCAGGGCCCUGCUGGGCACAGGGAGGGACUUCUGGGCAAGGAUGUGAGGGGCAUGCAGGGGUGGGGACCAGAAUAGGGCAAGAAAUGUGAUGAGGUUCCAUACAGGUCCCACUACGAAGGCCUCAACUGCUGUCCCAGGAGUGUGGCCUUUGCUGACAAGAACUGAAGGGUGCUAAAGCUAGGCAGUGACAGGGUGAGGUCCGCAUCAUAGGACGGAGGCUGGAGCAGCAGGCCAGGACUGGGGUUGCUUGGGGAACCUGGAAAGAGCUAAUUCUGGGGUCAAGCAGAGACUGAGUUAGGCCAGGGCUCUGGGCCCUGGAGCUGUGACACAGCCGGAUGGAAUCUGCAGAGUGUGAGGAGAGAGAAGCCUUGGCUCACCCCCACAAUUAGGGCUGGGGGAUGAUGGGACUCACAGGAAAUGUAAGGAGGCAGCCAAAGCCACUGAGGUCUAGAGGAACAACUCCAGGAGGGAACUCCAGGAGAGGGAAGACUGGACACCAACCAAGGCCAGUAUCCUAGAGACCAAGUGAUACCACAGGCAGAGGUCCUGUGCUGAGGCCCAUCCAUCCGCAGCCUGAGCACAAAGGAACCGUAGGCGACACAGGGGCGGGGGCCUGGGGCCUGGGUGUCCAUACCACAGGGUCAGGGUCCUCAGAUGCAAGAAAUUUCAAGAGCACAAGGCCAGCAAGGGGAUUGGGAGUGGGAAGUGACCAAGGUCACAUAAGAGACUUGCUGAGUUGGACCUGAGGGCCACAUUGAGGCUGAAGCAAUUGCUUUCUUUUUCUUUUUACUACUUACUGUAGAUUUCUUGUCCCAAGCCUGUUUGAGUGUGUGCGUGUGUAUGUGUGCGCGCACAGUACUGGGGACUGAACCUAAGGCCUCUGCACUGAGCUAUGUCUCCAGCCUUUUUGAGACAGAAUCUUGAUAUGUACUUCAGGUUGGUCUCAAAUGCAGUGAUCCUCCUGCCUCAGCCUCCCAAGUGCUGGGAUUACAGGGGUAUGCUACCAUGCCCAGCUUAUUCCUCUGAUCUUAAAAACUAGGGACAACAGCUCAGUCCCUAAAGACCCAUGUAUUGUCACAGGUUACAGGUGUAACUGUGCUGCAGGUGGCAAUCUGGUGUAAGUAGAUCUGCCAAGGGGACAAGAGCUUCUUGGAAUUCCUUAGGGGAAGACACCCAUGUCCUUGCCUCCAACACAGAGCCCCACAAAGGACACCAGCCCUCUCUGCCUCUGUGGCCCCACAGACAGGAAGUGGGACAUGAGAUGACUGGCUCUCAACCUUUCAAGAAUCAUGGUUUAGGCUGGGGAUUUAGCUCAGUGGUUCUGCCGCCUGCCUCGCAAGUGCAAGGUCCCAAGUUUGAUCCCCAGUACCAAAAAAAAAAAAAAAAAAUCAUGGUUUGUCAUUUUUCCCAACUCGACUCUACCCCAAUUCUGCCAAUUUCAGCUUCUUUUUAUCUUACUUCUUUUCCAGGAUAAUUCAUGUUUCUACCAGGUAGGUAGGAGAGAAAAAAUUUUUUCAAAAAGCUUAAUAUUAACUCUCAAGUCGUAAAGCUCUUCAACUCAAGAUUCCUCUAAUAAUCAAAUUCAGGAGCUCAAAAACCAAACAAACAAACCCAGAAACUCAAGUGUCAGCCACGAAUCUGUCCUAUCUACUGCCCCUCCCUGGUAAGACAGCUCUCACCUCUUCCCAGAUGGGAAUCCUUCUCCGGCUGGCCAGCUAUGGGACUCCUCAUUCCUGAGCUUCCCCAGCACCUCGUACUCAGUGACCAUUUGCCAAAUACAUGAAGGGAUAGAAUCAGGGAUGGGCAUUUCACAGCCUCACUGGUUGGUUUAACCACCACCACUGCCUAGAACUUCCUUCCGUGGCUAAUGUAACUGAUUCUGGAUAGAAAUUAUUGCAGUGGCCUCCUCAGGAUGUCAUCCAGCUCCUUAGCUGAUUUGGCUAUGCUAAAGUCCUGUGGACAGAUUGAAAGUGGGGCUCACAUCACAAAGAGCAAUGGCGAGAGUGCAGAUUCCCCAGAAGUGUGCUCUGAAGCUUCUUUCCCUUAAAGGUCUCGGCCACUUUCAGUGUGAGGCCAAGGUGCUGGGGGUAGUGAGGCCGGAGUGUGAACAGUCAAGUUCAGGUUUUUGGGUUUUUUGGUACCGGGGAUCGAACUCAGGACCUUGCGCUUUCGAGGCAGGCAGUGGAACCACUGAGCUAAAUCCCCGGCCCUAAGUUCAGGUUUUUAACACACAUUAGAGGACAGGCUCAGGGAAAGAAAGGGAAUCCAUUUUAUUAGGCAAUAUGGAGCUUCCAUCAAGGCCCCCCAAACCCAGGCCCCAUGAGUAGAAAGCAGCUUCAUAUUUCCAAGACACCCCAUCUGCUCCCCUCUUCCCUCCUAACCAACCCAUCACCUCACCUGCUGUCAUCCCGACUUAACUGUCUUACGGAACAAAGCCCUGGGAGCAGCCAGGAUGGCACAGGAAACUAGGACAAACUCCUGACUUAAGCCCAGA